rnacentral:rRNA from 1 species
AUUGAACGCUGGCGGCAUGCUUUACACAUGCAAGUCGAACGGUAACAGGCCGCCAGGUGCUGACGAGUGGCGCACGGGUGCGUAAUGCAUCGGAACGUGCCCAGUCGUGGGGGAUAACUACUCGAAAGAGUAGCUAAUACCUCAUACGAUCUAUGGAUGAAAGCGGGGGACCGUAAGGCCUCGCGCGAUUGGUGCGGCCGAUGUCAGAUUAGGUAGUUGGUGGGGUAAAGGCUCACCAAGCCAACGAUCUGUAGCUGGUCUGAGAGGACGACCAGCCACACUGGGACUGAGACACGGCCCAGACUCCUACGGGAGGCAGCAGUGGGGAAUUUUGGACAAUGGGCGCAAGCCUGAUCCAGCAAUGCCGCGUGCAGGAAGAAGGCCUUCGGGUUGUAAACUGCUUUUGUACGGAACGAAACGGCUCUGGUUAAUACCCGGGGCUAAUGACGGUACCGUAAGAAUAAGCACCGGCUAACUACGUG